rnacentral:rRNA from 1 species
GAUGAACGCUGGCGGCGUGCCUAAUACAUGCAAGUCGAGCGAACAGACGAGGAGCUUGCUCCUCUGACGUUAGCGGCGGACGGGUGAGUAACACGUGGAUAACCUACCUAUAAGACUGGGAUAACUUCGGGAAACCGGAGCUAAUACCGGAUAAUAUAUUGAACCGCAUGGUUCAAUAGUGAAAGACGGUUUUGCUGUCACUUAUAGAUGGAUCCGCGCCGCAUUAGCUAGUUGGUAAGGUAACGGCUUACCAAGGCAACGAUGCGUAGCCGACCUGAGAGGGUGAUCGGCCACACUGGAACUGAGACACGGUCCAGACUCCUACGGGAGGCAGCAGCAGGGAAUCUUCCGCAAUGGGCGAAAGCCUGACGGAGCAACGCCGCGUGAGUGAUGAAGGUCUUCGGAUCGUAAAACUCUGUUAUUAGGGAAGAACAAAUGUGUAAGUAACUAUGCACGUCUGGACGGUACCUAAUCAGAAAGCCACGGCUAACUACGU